GCAUUUUCUUUUACUAAUCCUGAAUGAUUUUACCUUCCAAGUCCUCAUCUCUAUCCUGAGAAUUGACUUCUUAGAAAUCAGGUUCGGUGUUUUACUGUUGAGCUGCUCAGUGCCCAGCUUAGAGGACCAGGAAAAGGAGUCACCGGCCAUAUGCUGGAGGCUUGAGACACGGCACAGCGGCGCAGCUCGCCUCGCUAUGGUUGGUGGUGGCAGUGGAGCUUGCGAUUGCCACGCGGCUGGAGGGUCCUUUAGGUUGUUUGAGGGACAUUCAUCAAGGAAACCGGAGAAACUUAAAAUGCUCUUCCGCUUCUUUGGAACAGUCACAGAGAAAAGUGAACUCCUUUCAUUCUUGCAGUAAUUUUUCUUGCUGAUGGGAACAGUUCAAGUCAAGUGACAUGUGAGGAACAUUUUGUGUUUAACGUAAACCUUCCUGUCCCAACUACAUUGAAACAGUAAUGAUGCGACAAGUUCUUUGUAGAAAUACAGUACAACAUUGCUCUUGGUCUGCAGUAUGUAAAGCUAACGGUUUAAAGAGGAAAUCCUAAAGAGAAUAAAAGAGGUUGCAGUAUAAUGAGUCGUUGUGUAGAAGUUCUGGAGCCUACUCAAUAGACUGGAGAAGCUUAUUUAAGAACCUACUGGGUUGGUGACAUUUACAAGACAGAGUCUUGAGGAUUUUCCAGAACGGGAAAGAUUUUGAAAGAACAAAGAGGAACUACAGAAUCAUUGCUUACAUUGACACCGGCCCUGUUGUCCCAAUGGAUGGGUUUUUUUUGGAUGAACGUCAAAAUUGACCCUGCUGUUAAAGCUUGAAACUUGGAUCUGUUGUAUCUGAGUUCUCUCCUCAAAAAAAGACCUUCAGGAAGUAUCAGAUAACUGAAACAUACCAGAUCACAGCACCACAUGCCUCCUGCCCCUCCCUAAUUUCUGUUCUCUUAUACAUUGUUAAAUUUUUUUCCUGCCCCUAUUAGUCAAGCCCAUGGAUUUGAGACUGAGCUCCCAGCUCCUGGGCCGCAGCACCAGGUUAAAGCUUUCUUCCUUGGCAGUACUUGUCACCUCAGUGACUGGCUUUUUCUCCGAUGAGCAGGAGGACCUGGACGAAACCCCUAGUGUUUGGUCAAGGAACUUGAUGCUCCCUAAAUCCAAAUAUUACGGUUAAAAGAAGAGAGAGGAAAUGUGUGCAGAGAAAGUGUAUUUUACAAAUGAAUUAAAGGUGGAUUCUGAGUUACAGGUUUAUAGAUUUACCUAGAGUUUUGAGUUCAGGAAGCCAUCAUUCUUUAGAGGGCAAUGACCAAACAGUACCAGCAGAAAUUGAAGUACCAGCAGAAGGCUAAGAAGGGAUCAUGGCACAAGCUGCAGUUUCCACCCUGCCCAUUGAAGAUGAGGAGUCCAUGGCAGAUGAG
rnacentral:lncRNA from 1 species